GUUUACUCUCAAAAUUAUCAUGGAAAGUGUCAUCUACCUGAUAUUUUAUUAAUAAUUAAAUAGGUUCAGGUUAGUUGUGGUUUUGUUCAUAAAUACCCCCAAUAAGUGAAAAAGCUAAAACUAGUCCAGCUAUACUUAGUCCAGGGUUUCAUUUCCAAAAGAGCUUUGUUCAGCAUUUGAUAAGUCCCAUUCUUAAACAGGAGCAAUAAAUUUACAGUCUGAAUGUUUGUGUCCCUCUAAAAUUCGUAAGUUGAAAUCCUAAUGCCAGUUUGAUGGUCUUAGGAGGUGGGGCCUUUGGGAGGUGAUUAGGUCAUGAGAGUAGAGCCUCAUGAAGGAUUAAUUCCCUUAAAAAAGAGGCCUCCCAGAGCCCCUUAGUCCCUUCCACACAGCAAGAAGUCACCAGCUAUGAACCAGGAAGAGAGCCUUCACCAGAAUGGGAACAAACUGUUUCCUUAAUCUUGGACUUCCAGAAUUGUGAGAAAUGUCUGUUGUACUAUAAGCUGCCCAGUCUGUGGUAUUUUGUUAUAUCAGCCCAAAUGGACAAGGACGGAAAGUAUUACAAGGUAGUGAUAACAAGAAAUAAUAUUUCAACAGACAUACCUUAUAAGUAAUGUUUUGCUAAUUGUAAUAUUUAAACAGAAUGAUUCCAGAUAAAACUCCUUGACAUAGUCAGGAAGGCUAAGAAACAGCAUUAAGUAACAGGGCAAAAAUAAUCUGGAAUUAAAAUUUUUCUGCAGAAAUUUUAAGGAUGGAUCAAUUAUCCUAAACAUGGUCUUCUGAAGACUGCUUUCAUACUUGAUUUUUCAAAGUGUGGACUUUUGCUUAUUUACCAAAUUUCCUUCAUAAUUAAUGGCAUUCUUUGCCUGUUUCUGAAUCACACUAUCCAUAUCCCCAUACUCAUUUUCUUUUCUUAUUGCAGAAUGUAAUUUCUAGUAUUUACACUUUGUUUUCCAACUCUUUUGUAUCUUAAAAAAAAACCUUGAGCUAACUUGUCAUAAUAGGAAGAUAUUUGUGCUGGAAGCACUGGCCAUGAUAUCCAAGUGUUUGCAAUGAAAAGUUGUCACUUAAUAGUAUCUUUCAAAACUCAGUGAGUGGCCUGGACAUUGUGCUUAUUCUUGCCAGGUGCUAAAAUCUAUCCACUAAGUUAUAACGUCAUUAAUUCUGUAGCAUAAGGGAGUUUCCAAGAUUCAACCCAGUUUCAACUCUAGAGAUCAUGAAGUGAGUGAUAUAUUUACGAUAAAAUCCAACUUCAUGUUGUGUACCCUCAGGAUUGAGACAUGUACAACCACCUGGAAUUUCUUGGCUUUGACCUGACAAGUUCCCCAGUCUUCAAGGAUGGUUGCUGUUGUCACGCCGACCAUCAUGUUCUCUUGUCUUCUAUGAUGUAAGAACUUGCUCAGAGGAAAAUCCAUAGGAGAACAUAGCCAGAAGGUGGCUAUCCACAAGCCAGGAGGUGAGCUCUCACCAGGAGCAAAUCCAUGAGCCUGGACUACCACCUCCAGAACUGUAAGAAAUAAAUUUCUCUUCUUUAAAUCAUCCAGUCUUUGGUAUUGUGUAUAUUACAGUAGCCAAGCGGAGUAUGACCACCAGAUUAUUAAGCAAUCAUUAUGUUAGUGCUGGGCUUCCCAGGUGGCGCUAGUGGAAAAGAACCCACCCAUCAAUGUAGGCUAGAUCCCUGGGUCAGGAAGAUCCCCUGGAGGAGGAGAUGGCAACCCACUCCAGUAAUCUUGCCUGGAAAAUCCCAUGGACAGAGGAGCCUGGAGGGCUGCAGUUCAUGGGGUCUAAAAGAGUCAGAUACGACUGCAUCGACUUAGC
ensembl:lncRNA